GACGAACGCUGGCGGCGUGCUUAACACAUGCAAGUCGAACGGAAAGGCCUCAGCUUGCUGGGGUACUCGAGUGGCGAACGGGUGAGUAACACGUGGGUGAUCUGCCUUGCACUCUGGGAUAAGCUUGGGAAACUAGGUCUAAUACCGGAUAUGAACUGCCUUUAGUGUGGUGGUUGGAAAGUUUUUUCGGUGCAAGAUGAGCUCGCGGCCUAUCAGCUUGUUGGUGGGGUAAUGGCCUACCAAGGCGUCGACGGGUAGCCGGCCUGAGAGGGUGUACGGCCACAUUGGGACUGAGAUACGGCCCAGACUCCUACGGGAGGCAGCAGUGGGGAAUAUUGCACAAUGGGCGGAAGCCUGAUGCAGCGACGCCGCGUGGGGGAUGACGGCCUUCGGGUUGUAAACUCCUUUCGACAGGGACGAAGCUUUUUGUGACGGUACCUGUAUAAGAAGCACCGGCUAACUACGUG
rnacentral:rRNA from 1 species